AUGGAGGAGCAGCAGCCAUUGGGGAAGUGUAUUGGGCUUUAACAUUACUGAGGAGGACUCUCUCUCCCAUUCUGGAAUACAAAAUAGACUAAUUGAAGGCGAGCGAGGAUAUAAGUAUAACACGGAUUCAAAGGCCCACACGACACGACGUAACAUUAACUUGAGGAACCACAACCAGGAUCCGGCUGCUUUCGGACUCGGUCUCUGAGGCGACAGACGUGAACUGUAGAAGUUACAGCUGAGCUAGCUAUAGCCACUGACGCUAAGCGGCGCAGCUAGCCACACAUAGCUAACUGUAACUGAUCUGUGAAGUUGCUUUCAAAUCACGGGGCUUGAAAUCCAGUCACAAGCUCAGGCUCUGUGAGAAUCCAGGGACUUGCUUCAUGAAUUAUGUCUGCCACAAGCAUUGACCCUCAGAGAUCAAAGGGACAAGCAUCUAAAGUGCAAAAUGGUUCACUGCAUCAAAAGGAGACUGUCCAUGACAAUGACUUUGAACCUUACCUCACUGGUCAAUCAACUCAGGUAACUAUUUGAAUUUUGCAAAUGAUUAGAAUAAAUAUAAAUAUACCAAGACUACAACCUAUGAAUCACUUGCACAUUGUCUAUGAUGAUUUUGCCAAGA